AAAUUGGCAGCUAGGACAUACUCUUUUUGGUUGACUGCAGUCUUUGCCGUGGUCCUCACUGUCAUCAGAAUCAUUACAAAAAUGUAAGUUUAUUUAUUGCUAGGAUGAUUGAACAAUUAUUAUACUGAUAUGAAUUGAGUCCAUGCAUUCCCCUUUAAGUAAAUGUAUUUGAUUUCAUUGUAGAAAAUUUAAAAAAUAUUAAAAGAAUGAAGAAAAUAAAAAUAGAUAAUAAAAAAUAAAGUUAUAAAUAAUAAAUAAACCCUCACAUGAAAUGAGUUACCAUGAACGUUUUCUUUUCCUCUGGUCUUUGAACAUUUUCUCUCCUGCCAUGGUGGCCGUGGGUUACAGGGAAUCAGGGUUCACCUGGGUCUCGAGAGGGAGCCUGAGAAACCACAUCAAAGGAAGGCAGCAGGCAUGCAAAUUACCCACUCUCUGAGGGGAAGGUGGUGAAGAAAAAUAACAAUACAGGGCUCUUUUUUGAGACUGUGUAAUUGGAAUGAGUCCACUUUAAAUCCUUUAACGAGGGUCCAUUGGAGAGCAAGUUUGGUGCCAGUAGCCGCAGUAAUUCCAGCUCUAACAGCAUUUAUUAGAGCUGCUGCAGUUAAAAAGCUCAUAGUUGGAUCUUGGGAGCAGGGCUGUCAGCAGCAAGGCAGAAGUGAGCCACCCCUUGUCCCUGCCCCAUGCCUCUCUGUGCCCCCUUGGUACUCUUAGCUGAAUAUUGAGGGGCCAGAAGUGUUUACUUUGAAAAAAUUAGUGUUCAAAGCAGGCCCGAGCCACCUGGAUACCACAACCAGGAAAAACAGGAUAGGACCGUGGUUCUAUUUUGUUGGUUUAUGGAAGGGAGACCAUGAUUAAAAGGGGCAGCUGGGGGCAUUCAUAUUGCACUAGGGGUGAAAUUCUUGGACCUGCAGAAGCAAAAACAAUUUCUUAAUAAAAGGGAAAAACUUUUUUUCUCUCAGUAUAUAUAAAUGAUGCUUGCAUGGCCACAUACAUUUUAGAGGUAUCGUGG
rnacentral:ncRNA from 1 species